UUUUAGCCUCAUAGAUUCCUAUGACAAAUUCUGAUCUCCGUCAGUACCUGCACUCAUAUGUGUGUACACACACACACACUUCAAAACAAACCAUUUUAAAAAACAAAGCUGACCCACUUCUCUGAAUCCCAGACUGGUGAGUUCCGAGUUCUGGGCAGAGGCCUGUCAGAAACUACCCAAGUAGUAGUCUGACCUCCAAGGGCUGUGCUCCAGGAAGCUUCCUGCCUGCGGGUGGAGUGAAAAGCAAUGGCUACUGCUGUGAUGCUGUGUGCUACACGGGCUCUGCGGCCUCUCAGCUGUAUCCCUGGAACCUGCCAGGCACAGGUCAGACACACCCACCAGAGAGCUUCCUUACUGCCCUUUGGGAGCUCAUUCUUUUUUUUUUUUGUUGUUUUGUUUGGUUUGGUUUUUUGGUUUUUUUGAGACAGGGUUUCUCUGUAUAGCCCUGGCUGCCCUGGAACUCACUUUGUAGACCAGGCUGGCCUCGAACUGAGAAAUCCACCUGCCUCUGCCUCCCAAGUGCUGGGAUUAAAGGUGUCCUGCCAGGAGUUCAUUCUUGUGAGAGCAGAACCUCUAUGAAAGAAGAAGGUAGACCCCAGAAAGGAACAAGCAGCAAAGGAUCGCCUGAAAAAGUGGAUCCGAAAACUGGAAAAGCCACCUAAGAACUGAUUCCUAUUGAAGAUUUUAUUAUCCCUGUGAGGUUCUUGGAUAAAUCAAGACAGCGACCUCAGGAGUAUUUGAGGAGAGUGAACAGAGAGCUCUUCUGCUGACGAGGUGGGCACUGUCUAAGCAGCAGGAGCUGGAGAGGGAUUCCAUCAAAGCCAUGCUGUGGAAGCACAGCAGGAAGCCCUGGAAGAGCUGAAACUUGACUCUACAGAGCUCCAAAGCAGGACACCAGCCUAUUCCCCUUUGAGAAAGAAGGGCACAUUACACACCACCUAUCUCUAAUGACCAGGUCCCUGAAGGCAGGUACAAUGAUAUCACCAAGGUGUUACACACAAGUAGAAUUCAGAAAAUAGAACUGAAAACUGCUGUCCUCAGAACAUGUUGGCCCUAGGAGUCUGGACUAGCGAUCUAAAGUCUACUUUGCACAGAUGAGUCAUCUUAGGAACAAAUAAAGGGUAAUCAAAAGUAUCUGUUGUUUAUUUAUCAAUAUGAAUUCACCUUAGUUUGACUGGGGCUUUCAGAUGCUGGUAAACCAGUGACAGACAAGAACCAUACAGUGGGGCUGUGACUGGAAGCUAAAGAUUUCAGUUGUAUUCUAAACUGUUUACAGAAGGCACGUUAUAACCCAAAGGUGAAAAGCAUGCUGGCUAAGUGUGACAGAGGAAUCUGGACCUUGGCUGGGGGCAGCUGCAAAAUUUCCCCUUGGGUUGUCAAGAUGAUAGCUUUCAAGAGUGGAACAAGUCAGAAACAUUAGUGAAAUCAGCUCUGGCCUCCAGAAGAGGAUGAGACAGGCAUUUGCUGAUUAAUCUGAAACAAUUCCUGUAAUCCCAGUGCCUGGAAGACUGAAGCAAAAAGACUGCCAGGAGUUUUAAGGCUAUCCCCCUAAGGUACAGUUUGAGACCCUAUCUCUGAAACAAAACAAAAACUCUGAAGUUGUGAAUAUUCUGCCAUAACAAAAUACCAUAGUGUGGGCACCUUACAUAAAACCAGCAGGCUUUCUAGCACUCCCCAAGCUGAGGUCUUAGCAUGCUUCUCCAAAGCUAUCCCUCUUGGUUUUCAGGUCCAGAGAGGCUGCUUAUCAGCCUUUGUUUUCUCAUCUUAUGGUACAUUCAUGUUAGUGUACAGCAAACUUAAUGGUCUCACUGUAGCCUAAUUACCUACUUAAACACCCUGCUUCCACACUCUGGAAUGCUGAGGGUUAGGACUUCAAUAUGUGAAUCUUAGUGAAGAGGGUUUGGCCCAGUGACAAUGUAGUGCCAUUUUUCCUAGUGACUUGAGGUGCAACUUCAGAAAGGCUUUGGCUUCUUAAGUUCUAUAGUGCAAACAAGCCAGGACAAAUUUUUGUCUCACUACAAACUUAAAUUAUUGAGGGCUGGUAGUACAACUUAGUGGGAAAUGGUCUAGUAUGUUCAAGCCUCUGACUUUGACUUCCAGCAUCACAUGCCAAAAAAACAAACAAACAAAAAACUCUUUUUAUUGUGGCUAAAGACAGAUUUUACUCACUUGACCAUUUCUGAGUGGGUGGUAUGUGUCUAUAGUGUAUAAUAUAUUGAAAGCAUAUUUAGAAUGCAUUGCUACCAUCUGUGUAUCUCUAGAACUUUCCAUUAUGAAAUGGAAAACUACCUAUUAAAGAACUUCUGCCAACUAUGACACAUGACUGUAGUUCCAGCUACUUGGGAGACUGAGAGCUAACCUGGGCUAUAUUAUGAAACACUCAUUCCUCUGUACUCCCAGGAAAACCGCUGCCAUUCUCCUUUCUGUCCCAUCAGUCUGACUCAUGUGCCUCAGUAAGUGGAUUCAUUGUUGAUCUUGCCUGGCCAAUUUCUCCAAGCAUAUUGCCUCUAUUUAUAUAUUUAAUUUUUUUAGAACACUCUGUGUGUGUGUGUGUGUGUGUGUGUGUGUAUUCAUAUUCAUUCUACCAGUUCUGUCCCUCUAGAGAACCCUGACUAAAGAGAUUUUCAUACCAGAAGUAGUUCUAGAGCAACAAAAGUAUAAGGGUGAUUUUUUUUUUUUAAUUAAAUAUUUAGAUUAGGCUUCCCAAUUUGCCAGCAUCUACAGUUACUGAAGCCUCUCAUUACUGAAACCUUUCCUAGAAGCUCAGAGAACACCGAAAGCCCAUGGUGUUAACUAUUUCACAAACUUAUCAAAAUAAAUGCAUUUGAUUAUCCUGGAAAAAUGUCUAAUUAAGUAUUUUAAUUAAAGCUAAUUAAAAAUAAAAACAAAAAUAAAGACUGGCUAUCAAAGUGUUAACUUACGGCCCAUAUAUUAGCCUUAUUAUUAAGAUUUAGAGUUAACAUUUGUUCAUUUUUUUAUUUUUGAGACAGUAUCUCUGCUAGUUUUUAUGUCAUCUUGACACAGCUAAAGUCAUGGUGUGUGUGUGGGGGGGGGGUUGUUGUUUUGUUUGGGGUUUUUUGUUUUGUUGUUUUGUGUUGGUUUUUUUGAGACAGGGUUUCUCAUGUAACCCUAGUUGUCCUGGAACCCACUCAGUAGACCAGGCUGGCCUUGAACUCAAAGAUCAGCCUGCCUCCACUUCCUGAAUGCUUAAAGAUUAAAGAUAUGUAUCACCACCACCCAGCUGCCAAGACUCGUUUUUGAAGACAGAACACUUCAGUAGUAAAAAUGUCCCCACCACAUUGGCCUGUGGGCAAGCCUGUGGUGCAUUUUCUUGAUUGAUGGUCAAUUUGGGAGGAUCUAGCAGUUCCCCACUGGACUCUUGGUCCUGAAUGCUAAAGAAAGUAGACUGGUCAAGCCAUGGGGAGCAAGCCAGUAAGUAGUACUCCUCCAUGGUCUCUAUAUCACAUCACCUUCUGCCUUGAGUUCCAAACCCUGACUUCCCUCAGUGAUGGACUGUAAUAAGGAUGUAUUAGCAAAGUAAACCCUGCCCUCUCCAAGCUGCUGUUAUCAAGGUGUUUUAGUACAAUAGAAGACUAAGACUAGGGUCUCACUGUAUAGCUCGGUCCAGCCUGGAACUAGCUAUGUAGACUAGGCUGGCCUGGAACUCAGAAAGAUCCACUUGCCUCCCAAGUGCUGGGAUUAAACAUCUACAUCACAUUAGAAAAAUAAUAUGCCUGGCUUGGCAUUAAUUUUUAAGUCUGGUUACACUAUACUGGGCACUGUCUUUUAUUUGUGGGAGGUGAGUUUUUCGGUAGCAGGAACAGUUGUUUCCAGGUGAGCUCUAUUGUGCUUUGGACUAGAACUAUUGUGUUCUCUUGUCAGUUGGAGAGUCCAGGGGAACUCCUUUCUAGUGACCAGCUUUAUUUUUGGAUUGUAGUUAGUAAGUGUAAUUUUAGUUGUGACAAUAAUGUUCAGGAUGCAUGUGAAGGUGUAGCUAUAAUGCAGAUUAAAAUUAGAUAUGCUUCCUUCCUUUGGCUCACAAUCUAAAUUUAGUAGACAAGAAUUUUCUUUCCUGGAUGUCAUUAAAAAUAGAAAAUACCCAUCUGUCUAGAUUGGAUUAUAGAGAUGUGCCUGCAGCCUUAGAGCCAACUGGCUUCUGUCCAGCUUUAAGAGUCUAAGAAAAAUAAAUGUUCUUUAACACAGAGACCAAGAGUUAGUUCCAGUUAAUGUUGACCUUGAAUUGUCUUCUAAGUUUGUGAACCCGAAGAAGACUUGGAAAGAUUGAGAUUUGAGAGUAAUUGAAAAAUGAUAUAGUACUGCUUUGUCCCAGAAGAAUUUGGCUUUGUGGUAAAACCUAAUUUUAUGAAUUACUUGCAGUAUAAGAAAGUUACUUCUGAAAGUAUUAACUUCACUUACAUUGCUGAACUGGUAAAGCGCACUUCUUGGGAUUAUUAAGAAGACCAUCAAGUAUUGAAAUAUGUAUGAAGUGCUUUUCUUCAGUGCUUGGCGUACAGACCCAUUUUUAAAUGGUGAUAGUUGUUAUUAUUGCUGAUUGUUAUGCCUUCUGGUUCCUUUUAUUUAAUUUUUUUUUUACCUGCCUGGCAUGGUAACACACUUGUGUAAUUACAGCACUCAAAAGGCAGAGACAAGUAGAUCUCUGUAAGUUCCAGACCAGGUAGAGCUAUAUAUUAAGAACUUGUCUCAAAAAUAACAAAAAAGAAAAAAAAGAAAGAAAUGAAACUACAAACUC
rnacentral:lncRNA from 1 species